UACAGAGGGUGCAAGCGUUGUUCGGAAUUAUUGGGCGUAAAGGGCGCGUAGGCGGUGCGGUAAGUCUGCGGUGAAAUCUCCCGGCUCAACUGGGAGGCUGCCGUGGAAACUGCCGUGCUUGAGUGUGGGAGAGGUGAGUGGAAUUCCCGGUGUAGUGGUGAAAUGCGUAGAGACCGGCAGGAACACCCAGGGGGAAACCAGUCGACUGGGCAUCUACUGACGCUGAGGCGCGAGAGCGUGGGGAGCGAGCCGG
rnacentral:rRNA from 1 species